ACUUGUUUUGUUGGUUGUCAUCUAACCAUCAUCGUUCCAUCUGCCAUCCGGUGCAUGCAUGGAUGGACGCCUGAGUGAGUGCGUGGCGACUACGCCGACGCACAGGCACAGACGGUGAUGAUGGUUAGAUGACCAUCAGCAAACAUGUU
rnacentral:pre_miRNA from 1 species